AUGAUGGUCAGCCUGGCCCUUCGGGAACCAUACCUGUCAGACAGCUACCCCAGACCAAGAGGUACAUCACAACAUAUGUUUUUAAUGUAUUGUGUGGUGUUGUAUUGUAUUGUGUUGUGUUAUAUUGUGUUGUAUUGUGUUGUGUUAUAUUGUGUUGUAUUGUGUUGUGUUAUAUUGUGUUGUGUUGUGUUGUGUUGUGUGUUGUGUUGUGUUGUAUUGUGUUGUGUUAUAUUGUGUUGUGUUGUGUUGUAUUGUGUUUUGUUGUGUUGUGUUGUCUUGUGUUGUCUUGUGUUGUGUUGUGUGUUGUGUUGUGUUGUGUUGUAUUGUGUUGUGUUGUGUUUUGUUGUGUUGUGUUGUCUUGUGUUGUGUUGUGUGUUGUGUUGUAUUGUCUUGUGUUGUGUUAUGUUGUAUUGUGUUGUGUUGUGUUGUGUUGUGUUGUAUUGUGUUGUUGUAUUGUGUUGUAUUGUGUUGCAUUGUGUUGUGUUGUAUUGUGUUGUGUUGUGUUGUAUUGUGUUGUGUUGUGUUUUGUUGUAUUGUGUUGUGUUGUGUUGUAUUGUGUUGUGUUGUGUUGUGUUGUAUUGUGUUGUGUUGUGUUGUGUUGUAUUGUAUUGUGUUGUAUUGUAUUGUGUUGUGUUAUGUUAUAUUGUGUUGUGUUGUGUUGUAUUGUGUUGUGUUGUAUUGUGUUGUGUUGUAUUGUGUUGUGUUGUGUUGUGUUGUGUUGUAUUGUAUUGUGUUGUGUUGUAUUGUGUUGUGUUGUGUUGUGUUGUAUUGUGUUGCAUUGUGUUGUGUUGUAUUGUGUUGUGUUGUGUUGUAUUGUGUUGUGUUGUGUUUUGUUGUAUUGUGUUGUGUUGUGUUGUAUUGUGUUGUGUUGUAUUGUGUUGUUGUAUUGUGUUGUAUUGUGUUGUAUUGUGUUGUAAUGUGUUGUAUUGUGUUGUAUUGUGUUGUGUUAUGUUAUAUUGUGUUGUGUUGUAUUGUGUUGUGUUGUGUUGUAUUGUGUUGUAUUGUGUUGUGUUAUGUUAUAUUGUGUUGUGUUGUAUUGUGUUGUAUUGUGUUGUGUUGUGUUGUAUUGUGUUGUAUUGUGUUGUGUUAUGUUAUAUUGUGUUGUGUUGUAUUGUGUUGUGUUGUGUUGUAUUGUGUUGUAUUGUGUUGUGUUAUGUUAUAUUGUGUUGUGUUGUAUUGUGUUGUGUUGUAUUGUGUUGUGUUGUGUUGUGUUGUGUUGUGUUGUAUUGUGUUGUUGUAUUGUGUUGUAUUGUGUUGUAUUGUGUUGUAUUGUGUUGUUGUGUUGUGUUGUAUUGUGUUGUAUUGUGUUGUAUUGUGUUGUGUUGUGUUGUGUUUUGUUGUAUUGUGUUGUAUUGUGUUGUGUUGUGUUGUAUUGUGUUGUAUUGUGUUGUGUUAUGUUAUAUUGUGUUGUGUUGUGUUGUAUUGUGUUGUGUUGUGUUUUGUUGUGUUGUGUUGUGUUGUGUUGUAUUGUGUUGUAUUGUAUUGUAUUGUGUUGUAUUGUAUUGUGUUGUAUUGUAUUGUGUUGUGUUAUAUUGUGUUGUGUUGUAUUGUGUUGUGUUGUGUUGUAUUGUGUUGUAUUGUAUUGUGUUGUAUUGUAUUGUGUUGUGUUAUAUUGUGUUGUGUUGUAUUGUGUUGUGUUGUGUUGUAUUGUGUUGUAUUGUGUUGUGUUAUGUUAUAUUGUGUUGUGUUGUAUUGUAUUGUGUUGUGUUGUAUUGUAUUGUGUUGUGUUGUGUUGUAUUGUGUUGUAUUGUGUUGUGUUGUAUUAUGUUGUAUUGUGUUGUAUUGUGUUGUGUUGUAUUGUGUUGUAUUGUAUUGUGUUGUGUUGUGUUGUAUUGUGUUGUGUUGUGUUUUGUUGUAUUGUGUUGUAUUGUGUUGUGUUGUGUUGUGUUGUAUUGUGUUGUAUUGUGUUGUGUUAUGUUAUAUUGUGUUGUGUUGUAUUGUGUUGUGUUGUGUUUUGUUGUGUUGUGUUGUGUUGUGUUGUGUUGUGUUGUAUUGUGUUGUUGUAUUGUGUUGUAUUGUAUUGUAUUGUGUUGUAUUGUAUUGUAUUGUGUUGUAUUGUAUUGUGUUGUAUUGUAUUGUGUUGUGUUAUAUUGUGUUGUGUUGUAUUGUGUUGUGUUGUAUUGUGUUGUAUUGUGUUGUGUUAUGUUAUAUUGUGUUGUGUUGUGUUGUAUUGUGUUGUGUUGUGUUUUGUUGUAUUGUGUUGUGUUGUGUUGUAUUGUAUUGUGUUGUGUUGUAUUGUAUUGUGUUGUGUUGUGUUGUAUUGUGUUGUAUUGUGUUGUGUUGUAUUGUGUUGUAUUGUGUUGUAUUGUGUUGUGUUGUAUUGUGUUGUAUUGUAUUGUGUUGUGUUGUGUUGUAUUGUGUUGUGUUGUAUUGUGUUGUAUUGUGUUGUAUUGUGUUGUGUUGUAUUGUGUUGUAUUGUGUUGUAUUGUGUUGUGUUGUAUUGUGUUGUAUUGUGUUGUGUUGUGUUGUGUUGUAUUGUGUUGUGUUGUAUUGUAUUGUGUUGUGUUAUGUUAUAUUGUGUUGUGUUGUAUUGUGUUGUGUUGUAUUGUGUUGUGUUGUGUUGUAUUGUAUUGUGUUGUGUUAUGUUAUAUUGUGUUGUGUUGUAUUGUAUUGUGUUGUGUUAUGUUAUAUUGUGUUGUGUUGUAUUGUGUUGUGUUGUGUUGUAUUGUGUUGUAUUGUAUUGUAUUGUGUUGUAUUGUAUUGUGUUGUAUUGUGUUGUGUUGUAUUGUGUUGUUGUAUUGUGUUGUAUUGUGUUGCAUUGUGUUGUGUUGUGUUGUGUUGUGUUGUGUUAUGUUAUGUUAUAUUGUGUUGUGUUGUGUUGUAUUGUGUUGUGUUAUGUUAUAUUGUGUUGUGUUGUAUUGUGUUGUGUUGUAUUGUGUUGUGUUGUGUUGUAUUGUGUUGUGUUAUGUUAUAUUGUGUUGUGUUGUGUUGUAUUGUGUUGUGUUAUGUUAUAUUGUGUUGUGUUGUAUUGUGUUGUGUUGUAUUGUGUUGUGUUGUGUUGUGUUGUGUUGUAUUGUGUUGUUGUAUUGUGUUGUAUUGUGUUGCAUUGUGUUGUGUUGUAUUGUGUUGUGUUGUAUUGUGUUGUGUUGUGUUGCAUUGUGUUGUGUUGUAUUGUGUUGUGUUGUAUUGUGUUGUGUUGUGUUGCAUUGUGUUGUGUUGUAUUGUGUUGUGUUGUGUUGUAUUGUGUUGUGUUGUGUUGUGUUGUGUUGUGUUGUGUUGUAUUGUAUUGUAUUGUAUUGUGUUGUGUUGUGUUGUGUUGUGUUGUAUUGUGUUGUUGUAUUGUGUUGUAUUGUGUUGCAUUGUGUUGUGUUGUAUUGUGUUGUGUUGUAUUGUGUUGUGUUGUGUUGCAUUGUGUUGUGUUGUAUUGUGUUGUGUUGUAUUGUGUUGUGUUGUGUUGCAUUGUGUUGUGUUGUAUUGUGUUGUGUUGUGUUGUAUUGUGUUGUGUUGUGUUGUGUUGUGUUGUGUUGUGUUGUAUUGUAUUGUAUUGUAUUGUGUUGUGUUGUGUUGUGUUGUGUUGUGUUGUGUUGUGUUGUGUUGUAUUGUGUUGUGUUGUAUUGUGUUGUGUUGUGUUGUGUUGUGUUGUAUUGUGUUGUGUUAUGUUGUGUUGUAUUGUGUUGUGUUAUGUUGUGUUGUAUUGUGUUAUCCCAAAAUCUGAAAAUUGACUGA
rnacentral:lncRNA from 1 species